rnacentral:pre_miRNA from 1 species
CAACUACUCCCUCUGUCCCAAAUUUCUUGUCUUAGAUUUGUCUAGAUACGGAUGUAUCUAAUACUAAAAUGUGACUUGAUACAUCCGUAUCUAGACAAUUCUAAGACAAGAAUUUUGGGACGGAGGGAGUACUUU